GAAUAUUAUAACCCCCCAAGGCAUCUCAACAAGAUCCCCAACAAGGAAGCAACUUUACUCUUCAGCUAUUUCAACGAACUCUAGAAGAAGCCCUCGAUUCAUUUCAGAAAUCCAUUCAUGGAGAUACGAGGAACUUGCAUAUUGAAAUUUUAAGACAAUUGCACAUGCAGGAGAUGGAGAUGUCUCGUGUGAUGAGCUCCAUAUUACAGAACCAAGCUGAACUGAUGGAAGAGGUUAAGUCUCUCCGGAAAGAAAAUCAGCAGCUUCGUCAAUUGCUUUGAGCGCUGAUUAAAAAACAUUAUCGUGUGAGGUUAGUGAAUGCCUCUUCUGAUCACCUUGCCGUAACUUCUGUUUCAUCCGUGGGCUUGUCUCAUAUCAGAGUAAAAAUGUUUACAAAUGUGAGGCUAAGAUUUUUACGUUUCAGAAACAUGUAUAUAAAUGCUUCUGGGUUGAUUGAAAAUGAAGCAUUGAACAGGGUUAUCUUAGUACAUAAGAGCUCCCUGAAUUUAUAACAUUUCGAUUUGUAUAACCUUAUUAAAACAAGUCUUCAAUAGAAAGUUGAGUCGCUACUUUAAA